AAUGAACGUUGGCGGCGUGGAUUAGGCAUGCAAGUCGUGCGAGAAGUCAAUUAGCUUGCUAAGAGACGGACAGCGGCGAAAGGGAGAGUAACGCGUGGUUACGUACCCAGAGGACCAGGAUAGCGUUGGGAAACCGGCAGUAAUACUGGAUAAUAUCUUUGGAUCAAAUGGUGUGAUUCCGCCUGUGGAUCGGACCGCGUACUAUUAGCUUGUUGGUGGGGUAAUGGCCUACCAAGGCUGCGAUGGUUACCGGGUGUGAGAGCAUGGCCCGGCUCACUGGGACUGAGACACUGCCCAGACACCUACGGGUGGCUGCAGUCGAGAAUCUUCGGCAAUGGACGAAAGUCUGACCGAGCGACGCCGCGUGCGGGAUGAAGGCCUUCGGGUUGUAAACCGCUGUCAGUUGGGAGGAAAGGCCUGUGAAGAGCAGGCCCUGACCGAUCUUCAGAGGAAGGACGGGCUAAGUUCG
rnacentral:rRNA from 1 species